rnacentral:lncRNA from 1 species
GCAGAAAUUUAGAGAGAAUAAAUAAGAGAAAAGAGAGAAGAAAAGGAAAGGAGAAGAAGAGGAGGACAAGAAUAUGAGGGAACACGUAGAGGGAAUAACAUAUUUUCAAUUGAAACUAAUAGUAUAUGUCUAUAUUUACUAGUAAAAAAUUAUUCUACUGGUGGUGAGUGCUAUAUUUUCGUUUUUAACUUAAUAAUUUUUUUUAAAAAUAUUAAACUUAAUAUGUUGGCACUCAUUCAAUUUAAUAUCUUAAUAAUCAAAUAGAUUUCUUUUCCUUUCACAUAUGAUCUGUGGUUAGUAUGGGAUAAAUUUGAGAUUUUCCUUAAACUUGAGUUCGAAUUCCUUAGUCCCUGAGCUUCUCCUUGACCGGGGCGGCGACAAUUCGAUCGAAGCCAUAAACUGCUGUAAUUGACUUGAGAUCCAAUUCAGCAGGCACAAACCAACCCAAAAUUAUAGAUCUAAGGGGUGAAAUUGGGAUGGAUGAGAAAUUAAACAAAGAAAUAACCCUUUGAUCCCGAAAUAUUGAAGGAGGAUAGAAUUGUUUGUUGGGUCAGCAGCCCGGAACAUCACCCUCUCCCUCUCCCUCUCCCUCUCCCUCUUUUGUUUUCUUUCUUCUGAUCUACCUACUUUAAAU